GGCUGCUCUGGCAGGGUGGGUAUCGCAGCUACGACGGCCGGUAUCUGUCGCUGUCGGACGCGCGGGUGUUCGACCUGCCCGACACCCU
rnacentral:tRNA from 1 species